rnacentral:lncRNA from 1 species
UUUAUAUUGGAACUCAAACAUCAAUAUCGAGGUCUUGCCCUCACUCUCAAAGCACAUACCAUUUUUGUUGAAGUCCAGUAGAUGAACUAUUUUACAUUCAAACACACAAGUUUUAAAAAAAAAGUGACACAUAAUCCAUUCAUUUAGCACCACAUGGAACCAGAAUUAGCAACUGCCAAAUUGUACACAGAAUACAAUUCUAUGCUGCUUAUUCAGAGACCUAAACCUUACUCACUAUACAACUAAACC